CCGGGGGGGGCGUGCUAAUACAUGCAGUCGAGCGGACAGAUGGGAGCUUGCUCCCUGAUGUUAGCGGCGGACGGGUGAGUAACACGUGGGUAACCUGCCUGUAAGACUGGGAUAACUCCGGGAAACCGGGGCUAAUACCGGAUGGUUGUCUGAACCGCAUGGUUCAGACAUAAAAGGUGGCUUCGGCUACCACUUACAGAUGGACCCGCGGCGCAUUAGCUAGUUGGUGAGGUAACGGCUCACCAAGGCGACGAUGCGUAGCCGACCUGAGAGGGUGAUCGGCCACACUGGGACUGAGACACGGCCCAGACUCCUACGGGAGGCAGCAGUAGGGAAUCUUCCGCAAUGGACGAAAGUCUGACGGAGCAACGCCGCGUGAGUGAUGAAGGUUUUCGGAUCGUAAAGCUCUGUUGUUAGGGAAGAACAAGUGCCGUUCAAAUAGGGCGGCACCUUGACGGUACCUAACCAGAAAGCCACGGCUAACUACGUGCCAGCAGCCGCGGUAAUACGUAGGUGGCAAGCGUUGUCCGGAAUUAUUGGGCGUAAAGGGCUCGCAGGCGGUUUCUUAAGUCUGAUGUGAAAGCCCCCGGCUCAACCGGGGAGGGUCAUUGGAAACUGGGGAACUUGAGUGCAGAAGAGGAGAGUGGAAUUCCACGUGUAGCGGUGAAAUGCGUAGAGAUGUGGAGGAACACCAGUGGCG
rnacentral:rRNA from 1 species